rnacentral:misc_RNA from 1 species
CAGUGCAACAGUGCAGCUAGAAAGAACAGACCAAGUAUUUGGUGCGACUCGAAAAGCAUAUCCAAUAGAUUUCAUGCUAUCUCCACUUGCUAAAUACCUUAAGAAUAUUUGCAGUGUCUUGUGUAUGAAGCAAUUGGUUCUCUAAUAUUUAAUUGUUUUUCAAUUCCGGGACCUACUAUUAAUAGUAGAUCUUCAAAGAUGCUAACAUCCAUUCUUAAAUAAUUAAAAUAUAGAGAAGGAUCUGUCAUUCGUAACAUAUUAACUAAAUUGUCACUAUCUCCUUGAGAGAAACGCUGCUCAAUUGAAUAAAUAGGCCUGACCCACAUCCUUCUUUUGGAUUUCUGCUUUGACAAUUUUGUAUAUAAUAGCCAUAAUUUUACUAAAGCAAAUCUGAUUUUUUCCUUUUGAUACUGGAGCAUUGGAGUUCUUCUCAUGCGCUCAUGCGAUGCGUUGUCGUCUCAUGCGGUCUAUGCGUGAAACUAAACGUACCCCAAUUGACCCAAAAUGCAUGAAUCCAAAAUGGCCGCACCCAAUGCAUCGUGUCCCUGAGCGUUCCUAUGCGAUAGCCUGCGUUAUUGAGCAAAACUACGAACAACGUUAAAAACAUAUUGUAAGAUCUGUAAGUGAUUUUAUAAAAAAUAAGGCUGUGUUAUUGUAUCCCAGACAGUACAGGAUAUCUUAUGGAUAUCCGUUUUAUGUCCAUUUCUUGUCCUGAUGUCCAUGGACCUUAUAAGGAUAUCCAUAGGAUAUACAUUUGUGGACAUUGAAGGGAUAUCCUAAAAUGGACCACUUUGUAUGUCCAUAUGCUAUCCUUAUUUGUACUCGCUCCGCCAACACCAUCUGCAUGCACAAGUGAACUAAAAAGCAAUAUGAUCGUAGUAGUGGUUAGGUUUUUGUUGGUUAUCGGCAUGUUUUACACAGUCAGUUGUCGAGUUACAAUCAUUUGUUGCCUAGACGAGAUCACUCGCAUGCUGCAGUCAUUGUCUGCAAUAUAAAGAAUAUUUGUUCCACUGUAAUCGUUAAACAAUGGAUACACACUAUAUAUAUAUAUGUGUGAUAAUUACAAAAUACUUUAAGCUGAUUGUUUAAUUAAUAUUAUACGUAUGGUAUAAUAUUAAUUAAACAAUCAGCUUAAAGUAUUUUGUAAUUAUCACACACACAUAUAUAUAUAGUGUGUAUCCGUUGUUUAACGAUUACAGUGGAACAAAUAUUCUUAUUUAAUUAAAAUUGUUUAAUGUAUAAUUUAUUGAAAGAAUAAUAUAAUUUCUAAAAUAAAUAUUUAUAUUUAUAUAUUUUAUUCUGUUUUUACUCUUUUAUUUAAUGUAAAAUUUAAUUUUAAAUGCCGCUUUUUAUCACGUCCAUAGGACGUCCAUAGAACGUCCAAAGGACGUAAAACGGAUGUCCUGUGGAUAUCCUCAAUAUCCGUUAAGGACGUCAUGGAUGUCGUAUGGAUAUCCGUGUGCUGUCUGGGAUAAGAUGUAUGUAGUAAAAGAGGUUAAGUGUCUAUAUAUUCAGAGUGUUUCUGUGCGCGAUAACCUUGUAAGCAAAGCUGCAAACCACAUAAAAAACACUAUAAGAUUUGUAAGUAUACAUUUUUAUAAAAUAUAUGACUGUGUUAUUGCAGUAAGUUUCGGAACGUAGCCCAUGUUACGCAAUUAAUUCAGCGUUUCAAUUUCGCGCUUGCAUUCUGGAUCAUCUUUUUAUUGGCUCACUAAUACGUGACGUAUACUGACGUCACGGCAUCAUGCGCAAUGGUUCACCUGGUAUCCUUACACCGAUUGUAAUUACUAAACUCAAACUUCAUAUCCAAGAAUCCAAGUCAUCUUUUUCUUAGUAACAAUGGUUAUUUCAAUUCAGUUUUUCCUUUUCACAUUCUAGUCUUGCUUGGUAUUGAAUUUUACUUAUAAAAAAAUAUAAAAUAAUAUAAAAGUUAAUAUUAGUUGCUCUUGGUUUCCUUUUAAGUUAUUAAAUAAUACUCAAACGCCAA